rnacentral:rRNA from 1 species
AUACGAAGGGGGCUAGCGUUGUUCGGAAUCACUGGGCGUAAAGCGCGCGUAGGUGGACUAAUUAGUUGAGGGUGAAAUCCCGGGGCUCAACCUCGGAACUGCCUUCAAUACUGUUAGUCUUGAGACCGAGAGAGGUGAGUGGAAUUCCUAGUGUAGAGGUGAAAUUCGUAGAUAUUAGGAGGAACACCAGUGGCGAAGGCGGCUCACUGGCUCGGUACUGACGCUGAGGUGCGAAAGCGUGGGGAGCAAACAGGAUUAGAAACCCUAGUAGUCC